GUGCCAGCCGCCGCGGUAAUACGGAGGAUGCAAGCGUUAUCCGGAUUUAUUGGGUUUAAAGGGUGCGUAGGCUGUUCGUCAAGUCAGAGGUGAAAUACCACAGCUUAACUGUGGAACUGCCUUUGAUACUGGCGAGCUGGAAUACGGAUGCCGUGGGAGGAAUGAGUAGUGUAGCGGUGAAAUGCAUAGAUAUUACUCAGAACACCGAUUGCGAAGGCAUCUCACGAAUCCGUCAUUGACGCUGAGGCACGAAAGCGUGGGGAUCAAACAGGAUUAGAUACCCUGGUAGUCCACGCAGUAAACGAUGAUAACUAACCGUCGGCGAUAGAGUGUCGGUGGCCAAGCGAAAGCGAUAAGUUAUCCACCUGGGGAGUACGUUCGCAAGAAUGAAACUCAAAGGAAUUGACGGGGGCCCGCACAAGCGGGGGAACAUGUGGUUUAAUUCGAUGAUACGCGAGGAACCUUACCCGGGCUCGAACGGCAAGUGAAGCGAAGCAGAGAUGCUGACGUCCUUUCGGGGACACUUGUCGAGGUGCUGCAUGGUUGUCGUCAGCUCGUGUCGUGAGAUGUUGGCUCAAGUGCCAUAACGAGCGCAACCCUUGCUGCUAGUUACCAGCAUGUAGAGAUGGGGACUCUAGCAGGACUGCCACCGCAAGGUGUGAGGAAGGCGGGGAUGACGUCAAAUCAGCACGGCCCUUACGUCCGGGGCGACACACGUGUUACAAUGGUGACUACAGAGGGAAGCCACCCAGCGAUGGGGAGCGAAUCUCGAAAAGUCAUCUCAGUUCGGAUCGGAGUCUGCAACCCGACUCCGUGAAGCUGGAUUCGCUAGUAAUCGCGCACCAGCCAUGGCGCGGUGAAUACGUUCCCGGGCCUUGUACACACCGCCCG
rnacentral:rRNA from 1 species